GUCUUCAGUUCUGUGAACGGUUUCUGGUUGUGGUAGGCUACACCAAGGCCGAAACAGUUUGACGUUUUCCGAGCAUAACCUGCCCGUUUCGCAUCUGUGACCUCAGCCCCUAGAGGUCCGUCCGAUUUCACUCGUUGUGACGGUCUUUCUUGAAUGAAUGGCGUCCUGCGCAGUGUAACGGAGUGCAGGAGUUAAUGUGAGCGGGGCUUCAUGUCUAAUGUGCAGGAUGCAGCUGUAUUUGUCAUAUUUGUGUCAUUGCGCGGCUGGUCUGUCUGUGUUCUAUGUGUGCUACAUUUCUACAUCUUGAUCUGGUUGUUGAGUGCUCCUGGACUGUCUGUGUCUUUGUGGCAGGCGCGCUGGUUGCCUGACUGGCAUCUUCGGGUGGGUUUGAUACACUGCGCUUCUACGAUGUGGUGAUCAUUUGCUGUGCCAUUUGUCACUACGGAUGUUUCCUAUGUGGGGGCUCCUGCUUGCUGUAGACUAUUUCCUUGCAGUGAGUGGCAUUGUGUUUUCCUGUGGAUCUCUGGUGUUCUUGUCAUGUCCACUCAGUUGUUAUCCUUUCAAAUGUGUUUGGUACCUCAGCUCUCUCAGAAGAGCUGGGGCUGUGCUCAUGCUGUGUUGGGGAUUUGCAGGGGUGUUUCUGGGAUCUUUGAUUGUGCAAUUCGAUCUUGUUGACUUAUCGCUAUGGAGCAUGCAUUCCUCUCGAUCAUGUCACCCUAGCAGUGGCAUACGGCAAGUGGUGUCAUGCUAGCAGGGUGGAGCUUCCAAGUUUGCGUAUGAUGUGGCAUUGCUAUGCAGGUCUGGUGCAGGGGUUGCAUCUUGCCAGAUUGAUCUUACUAUUAUCGUGUUGACUGUGUCUGUGUGGUUGUCCACGUUGACGUUUUUUCCGUAUUGCUGUCUAUCCUUGCUCUGCAUGUCAUUCUCUUUUCUGCAAUUCCUGUUUCUUUGUACUGUCACUGGUUGAUGCAUUUGUUCUUUUGAUUCCAUGUCUCUCCCUACAAUGGUGGCGCCUGCUGGAGGCCGGGAUCCACUGUUCUACUUCGGUGGCGGCAAGCCCCUGACAUAUUCCGACGUUGCUGUGAUGGGAGUUUCGAUCUGGAGUGUCACCUUGCG
ensembl:lncRNA